CAGUCGCCACGGUAAUACAGAGGGUGCGAGCGUUAAUCGGAUUUACUGGGCGUAAAGCGUGCGUAGGCGGCUAAUUGAGUCGGAUGUGAAAUCCCCGAGCUUAACUUGGGAAUUGCAUUUGAUACUGGUUAGCUAGAGUGUGGGAGAGGAUGGUAGAAUUCCAGGUGUAGCGGUGAAAUGCGUAGAGAUCUGGAGGAAUACCGAUGGCGAAGGCAGCCAUCUGGCCUAACACUGACGCUGAGGUACGAAAGCAUGGGGAGCAAACAGGAUUAGAUACCCCCGUAGUCCCUGUCUCUUAUAC
rnacentral:rRNA from 1 species